GCGCCCAUAGCUCAAUUGGACAGAGCACCAGCCUUCUAAGCUGUAGGUCGCAGGUUCGAGUCCUGCUGGGCGCGCCA
rnacentral:tRNA from 1 species